rnacentral:rRNA from 1 species
UUGGAAAGAGAGUCAAACAGUACGUGAAAUUGUUGAAAGGGAAGCGCUUGCAACCAGACUUGCCCGCGGGUGAUCAGCCGGUAUUCUUACCGGUGCACUCGCCCGUGGUCAGGCCAGCAUCGGUUCGGGCGGCUGGAUAAAGUCCACUGGAAUGUAGCUCCCUUCGGGGAGUGUUAUAGCCAGAGGUGCCAUGCAGCCCGCCCGGACCGAGGACCGCGCUUCGGCUAGGAUGCUGGCGUAAUGGUUGCAAGCGACCCGUCUUGAAACACGGACCAAGGAGUCUAACAUCUAUGCGAGUGUUUGGGUGUCAAACCCAUGCGCGUAAUGAAAGUGAACGGAGGUGGGAACCCUUAAGGGUGCACCAUCGACCGAUCCUGAUGUCUUCGGAUGGAUUUGAGUAAGAGCAUAGCUGUUGGGACCCGAAAGAUGGUGAACUAUGCCUGAAUAGGGUGAAGCCAGAGGAAACUCUGGUGGAGGCUCGCAGCGGUUCUGACGUGCAAAUCGAUCGUCAAAUUUGGGUAUAGGGGCGAAAGACUAAUCGAACCAUCUGCUACUAGAUGGCAUACCGGGCCGCGCGCCCCAGUAGUCCCCGCGUGGCGGGGGCAACAUCGCCGGUCUCUCCGGGGACGCCUCUGGGCUACCCGCAGUGAGCCUUGGGCUCAUUCACAGAUUGCGGUGGCUGUGCCCUGGAGCACGGUUAGGAUA